CGCACGGGUGAGUAACACGUAUCCAACCUGCCGUCUACUCUUGGACAGCCUUCUGGAAGGAAGAUUAAUACAAGAUGGCAUCAUGAGUCCGCAUGUUCACAUGAUUAAAGGUAUUCCGGUAGACGAUGGGGAUGCGUUCCAUUAGAUAGUAGGCGGGGUAACGGCCCACCUAGUCUUCGAUGGAUAGGGGUUCUGAGAGGAAGGUCCCCCACAUUGGAACUGAGACACGGUCCAAACUCCUACGGGAGGCAGCAUG
rnacentral:rRNA from 1 species